rnacentral:lncRNA from 1 species
AGAAAGGGAAGAUGUGUGGGGAAGAGGUGUGAGGAAGUGGUUAUUUGUGUAAAGGGAAGAAGAUGAGCAGAGCAGAAACGGGGCCAAAGAAAGACGACCCAAGAAGUCAAGAAGGACCAGGAGAAUGAAGUGUCAGGAAGCUGUGGGAGAAUAGAGAAGUAAAGAGGCUGGGGUCAAAAGCCACAGGAGACUUCUGCUGAGGUAAGGACUGAAACAUGUCAUUUGCACUUAGUUGAGGAAUGACCAGUAAUUCAGAAGAGUAUUGAAAAUGAUUUCUGAGGAGUAAUGGAUACUGAUAGUUCUACAUAUUUUUUUUCUUUUAAUCCAAGAGGUUUUUAGAGGUGACUUAUGGAUAGAAGUUGUGGUAAGGGUCCUGUCGUGAUGGUGUGUUUGCAGAAUACUAACAUAAGGUUGAAAAAUUGUCAGUGUUCUAUAAAGAGAGUUGGGAGACUUAGGGAUUAAGUCCAUUGUAUCUGCUAGGGCCUCCAAUAUGAUGGAGUCAGAGCCAGAGAGCAAUGGUUGAAGGAAGGGUAUGCCUUGAGGAAAUAGGCUUAGGUUGUUAGGUGGGAGAGGGAGGGAUAAGGGGCAGUUAAAAUAAGAAACAAAAACAAGAAAGUAAUUUUGUUUUGCCCCUCUGGGGCUGCAAAAAGAAGUAAUUUUGUUUUUAAGAAUGAACUUAUCCUGUUAUUUCUAUUCUUUGCUAACAGAAGAAAGAGGGGAAAAUGGAGAGGCUGAAGACACAGAGGAGAGGAGCUGGCCUGAGGUGGCUGAAGGUAUAGCAUCCCAGAAGAGAGGCUGGACUGGAAAGCAGGAGGGACACCCCACCAGCAGAAGGAGUUUUCCACUGCAGCAGCCAGAAAGGUAUGGGUUUAUCUGUAUAACUCAAGCCAGAGUGUUUUUAUCUUCUGUAUUCACAGGGGUCCCUCGUCAGUGGGAGUGGAUAGCAGGCUUAAACUCACAGGACACAGUGGAGGGCAAGCUAACUAGGUGGACCGCAGAGACCCACAGGUGUCCUGCCUUUAAGCACUGAGACCUUGGCUGCUAGGUAAUCGCCUCAAGAUCCACCCAGGGAUUUCCCAUCUAACUUAAUGGGACAAAAUUUAGGAAUAAAGAGAACAGACCCUCACA